UAAGAAAAUCGCGGUGAGAUGGG
rnacentral:piRNA from 1 species